GAUCAUGGCUCAGGACGAACGCUGGCGGCGUGCCUAAUACAUGCAAGUCGAGCGAAGUUUUUCUGGUGCUUGCACUAGAAAAACUUAGCGGCGAACGGGUGAGUAACACGUAAAGAACCUGCCUCAUAGACUGGGACAACUAUUGGAAACGAUAGCUAAUACCGGAUAACAGCAUUAACCGCAUGGUUGAUGUUUAAAAGUUGGUUUUGCUAACACUAUGAGAUGGCUUUGCGGUGCAUUAG
rnacentral:rRNA from 1 species